UUGUGGGGCGGGGCCUGGCUCUGGCCGCCGGGGAAGCUUCUCGGCGCUCUGCGCGCUUGCCUGCCAGCCCUGCCGUCGCUGGCCUGCGGAGCGCCAGGAGGCCCGGCCCGGGCCCAGGAGCAUUGUGAGCUAGGACGGGACUGCUAGGAGACAGACGCAGAGACCGGAGUCGGAAAGAGAGGCCAGGCAGGAAAAGUGAACACCUCUAAGCCACCAGCCUGUCCGACCACACAGCUGCCACAAGCACAGCCUCCGACCACCGACAGUAGAGCUUUUUGAUCCACUCCCUCCCCAACCAAAAAAAGCUACAGUUCACGAAGUUCCUACCAUGCCCAAGGUGCCAGGCAAAACAAAGGAGAAAAUCAGAAAGUCUGAAAUUACAGAAUUCAUACAGAUCUACAUAAGGAGAAUAAAAAAAAUAUUUAUAGAAACAAUCUGGAAGGGACUUCACACUGAUUCUAGCCACUCCAACAGCUAUCAAAAUGCCUGAAAGCAGAUCCUAGGUCCAAUGUUCUGGAGACUAGCUUUGGAGUCCCAAGGAAAAAGAGGAGCCAUCAAUCAACAGAUCAUCUUGUAAGCUCAUCAAGAGAUUCUAAUGGACUUUGAAAGCAGACCAGUCACUGCCCCAAUUCUAUAGCAGCAGCUAGGGUUACCCUAGGGGGAGGGUAAAAAGGGGCAAAAACAGGAGGUAAGAUUUGGCUAGCAAGUUUAGGGUAAAAAGACCAUAAAGAAAAGUAAAGUUCACUCUUGGAUAAAAAGCCAGAAAUGUGCCUGCAUUUUCUUGGCAGCCUUAUCUUUGCCAGAGACCAAAGACACCAAAAGGGACCCUGACCUCUGAUCUGGUUCCUAAAUGAUUCUAGGAAAAAUCUUUUCAGAGCAAGAGAUGUUGAAGCAGAAGCUUGUUAAGCAAAAACUCCUUCUGAACAAGAGAAUAAAGUCCUAGCCUAGGUGGAAACCUAAUAUUCCAUUUGGGAUAGGUCAAUUGCCUGCCCAAGGGGCUACCCCUAAGACGGCAGCAUCACCUUAAACCAUGUGUCAGGGGCCUCCUUCAGAGGCUCACAGAGACCAUGCUCACCAAACACUCCCUGGUCAUUUUCUGUCUUUAGAGACUUUAGAAGUCAGCAUGUGCUGGCUGAGUUUUAAGAAAAUAAAUAAAUAAAUAAAAAUGAAAAUGUAUAAUAAAAAUGAGGAAUAAUAAGAAACUUUUUUUUCUAUCAAAGGAGGCUAGCCUGUCAAGGACCAAUAUUCCAUAAUCUCUACCCACCCUGUAAAUCCAAACUUUGUUAUUGUUUUGUUUUUGUUUGUUAAGACAGUUUCUCACUGUGUAACCCUGGCUAGCUCAGAACUUGCUAUGUAGGCAAGGCUGGCCCUCAAUUCACAGAGAUCUACCUGCCUCCACCUCCCAAGUGCUGGCAUGAACCAACACACCUUCCUUGCUAAGAAUUCAAAUAUUUUAAUCUCCCCUACUGGUAAAACUUCUGUUUACCCAAAGACCCUGCUGCAUUCCCAUAACAUAAUGGCCCCUUCCUCCUUCCCUGCCUGUAUUUUGGGCUGCUUUCCAAAUGAGCCAAUCAAGAGUAGAUUGUGGGUGCUGGAGAGAUGGCUCAGUGGUUAAGAGCAACGACUGCUCUUCCAGAGGUCCUGAGUUCAAUUCCCAGCAACCACAUGGUGG